GACGAACGCUGGCGGCGUGCCUAAUACAUGCAAGUCGAGCGGACGAUUCGAAAGCUUGCUUUUGAAUCGUUAGCGGCGGACGGGUGAGUAACACGUGGGCAACCUGCCCUGUAGACGGGGAUAACACCGAGAAAUCGGUGCUAAUACCGGGUAACACGAAAUGUCGCAUGACGUUUCGUUGAAAGGCGGCGCAAGCUGCCGCUACAGGAUGGGCCCGCGGCGCAUUAGCUAGUUGGUGAGGUAACGGCUCACCAAGGCGACGAUGCGUAGCCGACCUGAGAGGGUGAUCGGCCACACUGGGACUGAGACACGGCCCAGACUCCUACGGGAGGCAGCAGUAGGGAAUCUUCCGCAAUGGACGAAAGUCUGACGGAGCAACGCCGCGUGAGCGAAGAAGGCCUUCGGGUCGUAAAGCUCUGUUGUUAGGGAAGAACAAGUAACGUAGUAACUGACGUUACUAUGACGGUACCUAACGAGAAAGCCACGGCUAACUACGUG
rnacentral:rRNA from 1 species